rnacentral:lncRNA from 1 species
AGAUUAGUAAGACGGACAAAACUCUUUGUGAGCCUGAAAAUUAAAGUCUUAAAGAUAUUCAGAAAUACAGACUGCAGAAUGAAAAUGAAAUAGCAAGAGGUGAAAAAGAGAUUUACAAAAGCAAUGGAGAUUUUAUGAACAAUCAUACAAGGACACAUUUUAAAGCCUAGAUGAAAUGGCUAAUUUCUAGAAAAUCAUAAAGUGGCAAAAUCAGUUUAUGAACAGAAAAACAUAGAGAGACUAAUACAAACGAAAGUGAAAUAAUAAAGUCCUCCCAGCCUGCGCUCAGGCUCAGGCCCUACUGUUUCACAGUUGAGCCCUAUUAAAUUUAAUAAGAUACAGAUAAUUCUUCAUCUUAGACAAACGGUUCCAAAACAAUAUUAACCCAUUUUAUGAGACUGGUAUAACCUCAAUUCUAACUGGAUAAAAAUAAGAAAAUUAGGAGUUUCCUGGUGGCCUCGCAGUUAAGGAUCCGGCAUCGUCACUGCUGUGGCUCUGGUUACUGCUGUGGUGCGAAUUCAAUCCUUAGCCUGGGAAGGUCUGCAUGCUGUGGGCACGGCCCCCCAAAAAAGGAGAGAAAACUGUAGGCUAAUUUUAUCUACUUACACAGAUACGGCUAAUCCAAUAUUGUAAAAUAUAAGACAAAGAAGAGCUGACGGCAGAAUGCAAUGAUGCUUCCACAUCAGAGCAUCGUUCACUGUAAUUUACCACAUUUAUAGACGGGGGAUAAAAAUCACCCAGACCUGAACAGAUUUGAGUCACGUGGUUCCUUAACCUGAUCAAAGCUUCUACCAAAGGUUGCCGUUGGGCACAUGCCCUCCCUCUAAGACCAGGAAAGGAGAGGCAGAGUCCCAGCCCCACUCGCAACAGAGAGCGCCUGAGGUUCUGGUUGGCAACACAAGUCCCUUGGGUAUAAGCAGUGGAAGGAAAGGGACAAACAAGUGUCACUUUUUUUGCAUGUGAUAUCCUCCCCAGAGAGAUGCGACAGAAUCAAGUGAACUAGAACAACCAAUGAGGGAUUCGGCAAGCCGGCCAGUUUCGAAGGCAGUAAACAAAAACAACUGCUUUCCUCCACACCACGGUCAUCAGAAAAACAAUUCUUUUAAAGUCCCUGUUCACAAUACUACAGAAACCGUACAGAACUAGGAAUUAACCUAAUGAGGAAGGCACAACACCUUUCUGGGGGAAGAUCUAAGCAUACGGAGAAAUAAACUCAUUCACGGGUGAGGCAACUUAAAAGUUCUUAAUUCUCCCCCAAAUUAAUCUGUGUGUGUGUGUGCGUGUCGUGUAUGUGUGUGCAUGUGUGCGUGUGUACUUUUUUGUUUGUUUUUAGGGCUGCACCUACAGCAUAUGGAAAUUCCCAGUCUAGGGGUCAAAUCGGAGCUGCAGCCGCUGGCCACAGCCACAGCCACCGCCACUUGGGAUCUGAGCCUUGUCUGUGACCUACACAACAGCUCACGGCAACGCUGGGUCCUUAGCCAACCCACUGAGCCAGGCCAGGGAUCGAACCUGCAUCCUCAUGGAUACUGGUCAGGUUCGUAAACCGCUGAACCACAACGGGAACUCCCUAAUCUGUAUAUUUAAUCCAAAUCCAACAAAACUCCAGCAGAAUUUAAAGGCAACUUGAUGGAAAUGUGCAUGAAAGAAUAACUGGCCUUGAGGAGCUGACAUAUUUCGAAAGAGAAAAAGCAAUGAGCAAAUGUGCCCAAUCAGAAAGUGAAACAUAGAGUUCCCGUCGUGGCUCAGUGGUUAAUGAAUCCAACUCGGAACCAUGAGGUUGCAGGUUCGAUCCCCGCCCUUGCUCAGUGGCUUAUGGAUCCAGCAUUGCCGUGAGCUGUGGUGUAGGUUGCAGACGCGGCUCGGAUCCCGCGUUGCUGUGGCUCUGGUGUAGGCCAUCGGCUACAGCUCCGACUGGACCCCUAGCCUAGGAAUCUCCAUAUGCCGUGGGGGUGGUCCAAGAAAUGGCAAAAAGACAAAAAGAAAAGAAAGAAAGAAAAGAAAGUGAAACUGGAACAAAAGAAUGGCCCAGACACAUACCCGUAUCCAGAGCCUCGGCAUCCAAGGGACGCAACUGCCCAAGUCCCUGGGGAGGAGACAGCACAAUUCAGUAGGCCGUGCUGCAAACACUGCCCACCUCGCACUGCAUGCAAACAUCCUCUCCAACCUACAGAUCUAAACACAGAAGGCCAAUCUCCACGGCUAUCAAAAUAUGAAUAUCCUUGUGAUCUUGAGUGGCGAAAGAUUUCUCAGAACAAGACUGAAAUGAAAAAUGGACAGAUUCGGCUUCAUCAAAAUUAGGUUUUUCUAUUUAUUGAAGGACAACUACAGAUGGAUCAACAAAUGAGUGAGAGAUCGGGGGAGAAGAUAUUUACAAAUGUGAGAGCCAACAAAGGAUUGGCACAGAAACGUACCAGGAACUCUUGCAAAUCAGCAAAAAGAUGGUACACCAUUAAAAAAAAAAGGGACAAAAUACAUGACCAGACAAUUUACUACAGGGUAAGUCUGAAAAAUCUAAAUAAGUAUAAAAUGAGAUUUAUAGUGAGUAUAAACAAGCCUUACUGGUGAUUGGAGAACAACCAUCACAAGGCUGACGUGCCACUUGAGAACCAUCGGGACAGCAAAACGUCUCCAGGAAGCGCGGAUGAGACUGUGGGGGAGCCGAGCAGCACAGCUGUUCUGGGGAACAGCCGUUCUGGGGAGCCGUCUGGCAGCGCUCAGUGAGAUGAAGGACGCUUUUCACCCCGGGGCGCAGCAAUCCUACUCCUGGACACCUGUCAGGAGAUGUAGCUUAGGAUGCUCAGGCCCUGUCCCCAGGAAAGUGGACAUGUGAGCUCAGGUGGUGCUGGGGACUGAAGGUGUCUCCUCUAAACUCGUGUGCCCCAGCCCUCAAUGUGACAGUGUUUGGAGGUGAGGCCUUUGGGAGGUACCUGGGUUUAGAUGAGGUUAUGAGGGUGGGGUCCCCGUAACGGGACGGAUGACCUUCUGAGAAGAGAGCUCCCCGCCCCCCCAAGCCCCUCCGUCGUGCUGAAGACACAGCACGCCAGGGAUAGGGCUCUCCCCAGGAAGCGGACUCUGCAGGCACCUCGAUCUUGGCCUUUCCGGCCUCAGUAGCUGUGAGCAGCCAACGUCUACUGUUAAACACACCCCCCUACUUCUCCCCAGCCCGUGUAUGGUAUUUUGUUACAGGAGCCUGAGCUAAGUAAGACAAGUGGAUUCUUAAGAUGGAAUCUGAUGCAGCGCUCGUGAAGGAUGAAAUUUACAUGGGGUAACAUGGGCAGACCUCAAAAACAGUGAGGAGGGAAAGGGAAGGGGAGAAAGAUUUACAGCACGAUGCCACACUCAUGAGCUGGAGCUGCUCAUACAUACAACUGCUUUACAAGAACACAUCCAUGUAAAGGCAUAUUAAAUACACCAGAAUGAGGAGAGGAGGAGACUGGAGAUGGGAUGCAACAGAAAGGCGAAAACAUUUAAUACAAUGCAUCAUGAUGUGCUGUGAACUGAGAAGUGAUUAAUGCAACUCGUGGCGGGGGGGGGAGACACGUGUGUGCACACAGGCGCACACACACACACACAGCACGCACACGCCCCGAAGGCAGGCAGAAAGUCGGGAUUUGGUUUUUCCUGCUCAAAGGGUAAAGAGGAGAGUGUUAAAGCUCCCACGAUUUGACUUAAAGACGUCAGCUUUUAACAUAAAACAAUCGGUAAGGUGUUUGUAAACUUCAGGAUUAUGGUGAACCGAGCUGGUAACGGCCCCUCAUCUCUCGUCCACUAAGAAGGUGAUGUACAGACCUGAACGGAGACCCACAGAAAUCACACAACUGAAGAAGAUCUGGCAUUUUGCUGUUUAACUUAUGGAACUUGUCAAUUUCACUCAAAAUUUACACCAGCUUCCAAUUAUACUUAACUGAGUAUUAACCAUUCUAAUUGCUCGCUGCUCUACUGGCUGGAUCUAAAGUACUGAGGGACAUCUGGCUUGGCAAAUGGGACUCUGCUCCCUGUUAGAAAAGGGAGCUUCAGGCACUCACUUUCUCCUCGUGCCCUCGUAGGCACCUUCACCGAGGAUCCACACAUCUCAGAAACGGGGCUUUAUGAGCGCGGACCUGGCCAAAGCAGUCAGGACAAACUCCCUGGGAGCCGGGCAACUGUACCCCACGUUACACAUCACAGACAGCUGGGGCAGGGCGGCUGCAGGAGCGGGGGCCCAGGUUCCUUCCACCUUCCUGCUCCUCCAAGCGGCUGCUGGUUGUCCUGGGCUCCCCCCGCCCCCAUGAAGCUCAAGGAGGGAAUACGGCCCGGCCUGGGCAGCCUCUUCUCCCGGGGGCGUGUUCACAGGCAGAAAACCGCAGUUUGGCCAAGUUCAUCGCCUUUUUUCAGAGAAGCAGGACCAUAAGCAAACAGGGACUGCCUGAGAGUCUCUAUCUCUCCAUCCCAAGCGACGUGAACCGCCCAUCGCACCCGGCCAGGGAAGAGGCCCCUGGCUGCAAGCAAGGAGAGAAGGCGGGGUGGCGGCCACCAGCCUCUGCUCACAGUUAAACGGCUCCACGGUCUCUCCACAAAUCCAUCUGUGCCAAACAGCGGUUCCCAAGGGGGGAGGAACCCCAGCAGUGAGGAACCUGAGGAGGAGGCAGGAGGAAGACCAGAAUAAAAUGCAACAGUAGCCGGGGCCUUCAAAUGAGUACCCUGGAGAAAACAGGAGGUACACGGAAGAGGCUAAAAAGUAACAGACUCAGAAAGUUAAACACAGAGUUCCUAUAUGCGACCCAGCAAUUCCACUCCUAAGUAUAUGCUGAAGAAAAGAGAAAGCCUAUGGUCAUAAGAAACUUGUACCCAGAUGUGCACACAGAUGUUCGUAGCUGUGUUAUUCAUACUAGCCCCAAAGCAGAACCAACC